rnacentral:rRNA from 1 species
UACGUAGGGGGCAAGCGUUGUCCGGAAUUAUUGGGCGUAAAGAGCUCGUAGGCGGCUUAGUAAGUCGGCGGUGAAAUACCGAGGCUCAACCUCGGCACUGCCGUCGAUACUGCUAUGGCUAGAGUUUGGUAGAGGAGAACGGAAUUCCGGGUGUAGCGGUGGAAUGCGUAGAGAUCCGGAAGAACACCGGUGGCGAAGGCGGCCUGCUGGGCAGUGGCUGACACUGAGGCGCGACAGCGUGGGGAGCAAACAGG